GUGCACAUAGCCUGUCUUCUCUUGAGAGCCAGGUCUUUUUACGGCUGCCUUUCUCAAUAGCAAGGCUAUGCUCACUGAGUUUGUACGUAGUCAAAGCUUUCCUUAAGUUUGGGUCAGUCACAGUGGUCAGGUGUAACCGAUGUGAAAUGGCUAGUUAGUUAGCGGUGGUGCGCGCUAAUAGCAUUUCAAUCGGUGACGUCACUCGCUCUGAGACCUGAAGUGGUUGUUCCCCUUGCGUUGCAAGGGCCGCGGCUUUUGUGGCGCGAUGGGUAACGAUGCUUCGUGGGUGUCAGUUGUUGAUGUGUGCAAGGGUCCCAGGUUGGGGCGAAGAGAGGGACGGAACCUACACUGUUACACAGGUAUUCUGCCAUUGUGUACUCUCUGUUUAGGGCCAAAUAGCAUUCUAGUUUGCUCUGUUUUUUUGUUGUUAAUUCUUUCCAAUGUGUCAAGUAAUUAUCUUUUUGUUUUCUCAUGAUUUGGUUGGGUCUAAUUGUGUUGCUAUCCUGGGGCUCUGUGGGGUCUGUUUGUGUUUGUGAACAGAGCCCCAGGACCAGCUUGCUUAGGGGACUCUUCUCCAAGUUCAUCUCUCUGUAGGUGAUGGCUUUGUUAUGGACGGUUUGGGAAUCGCUUCCUUUAAGGUGGUUGUAGAAUUUAACGUCUCUUUUCUGGAUUUUGACAAUUAGCGGGUAUCGGUCUAAUUCAGCUCUGCAUGCAUUAUUUGGUGUUUUACGUUGUACAUGGAGGAUAUUUUUGGAGAAUUCUGCAUGCAGUCUCAAUUUGGUGUUUGAAUUCUUGGUUGGUGAGCGGACCCCUGACCUUAUAACCAUAAAGGGUAAUGGGUUCUAUAACUGAUUCAAGUAUUUUUAGCCAGAUCCCCCCUCUCUCUCUCUCUCUCUCUCUCUCUCUGUUAACCAGAUUGAAUUUAGCAGUGUCUCUCCUCCAGUCUGUAACACAUUCCUACCAUCUGUUGGAACUUGCUGGCAGGCAGGGAGGAGGAGGAAGCAGUGGUAUUUCCACGCUUUCUAUAAAUAGCUCAUAUGCCACAGUCAGUCAGUCAUCCAGUCAGUCAGUCUCAGUCGGUCAGUCGGCCGGUCAGCCGGUCAGUCACUAACCUCGAUCACUCCACACAAUGGAACCAUUCAGAUGCCCCGAGACAGAGAUCUAGUAUCAGUUUCUGAUCAGCGUCCAGAGGCAACUUCAACUUCCCCAAUCCCCCAUCAAUUCAGCUCGACAAGACAGAAUGUGAUGAUGUCACUUGUGAUGUCAUUUCCCAUUGGACCUGACUAGAGUUCUGGAACUAGAUGCUGCUGCAGAGCAUCAUGAUUUCGUCUACGUUGAUGAGGUCGGCUUUAACAUAGCUAAAACAAGCCGCAGGGGAAGAAACCUCAUAGGACACCACCAUCGUCAAUGUCUCUGGACAGCGUGGUGACAACAUCACAAUGUGUGCAGCCAUUAGUCAGAAUGGUGUCCUUCAUCGCUUGUGAUGUUGAUGGGGUACUGUGGCCAGACCCAAAAUGGAGACAGGAUGCACCCUAAUUGUUUUUUUCUUUAUAAUAACAAGCCUAUUUGUUUUUCUUCUACUGUAUUUGUUUAAUCUGUUACUGUUCAUCCCGAAAUCUGGAUGAAAAUACAAAAUACUAUGUUUUGAGAAAGAAAUACAUUACAUUUUUCCCCCCUUGCAUUUCUGUUUAUAGUGUAAAUAUAUACUGAAUAUGCAUACAUACUGUAUAUAUUUUUGCAUAUACAUGUAUGUGUGAGUGCUUUGACAAACUGCCGUGGACUCCACUGCACACUGAACAUGCAAAAGACACAAGAUAGUAGUGUUUUCCAUUUGUCACAUCCGUGUGUAGUUGGCGUGUAUAAGAGCUAAUCAUUUGAUGGUUUGUGUGAAGAGUUUUGAUGCAAAAACACAAUUUUGAGAAUUUUGAGUUAAAAUCGUUUUGAAUGAAGUGUUUGGUUUUGCAAGAGAUGUGUGCCGUUUUGCAUGUUGUGUGUGCUUUAGGGUUUUGUGUGUAGAGUCUAGAGAAAAGGAGCCGUAGUUUCAGAAAUCAUGUGUAAGCAAUUGUCAAAAACUGUAAUAUGAAGUCAUACUUUGAUUAACUGGUACACGUUGGAUUAGACUGUGGAUCCACAGGCUUAUCUUUUCAGAGGAACCCACAACCCAGUCUCUUUUCUAUUACUCUCUUUUCUACUCUACUUCUCCAUUCUCUCUCUUUCUACCUCUCCCACUCUGUCUAUCAUACACAUGUCCACAGUGGUGGAAAAAGUACCUAAUUGUCAUAUUUGAGUAAAAGUAAAGAUACCUGAAUAGAAAAUGACUCAAGAAAAAGUGAAAGUCACCCAGUAAAAUACUACUUGAGUAAAAGUCUAAAAGUAUUUGGUUUUAAAUGUACUUAAGUAUCAAAAGUAAAUGUAAUUGCUAAAAUACACUUAAGUAUCAAAAGUCUAAGUAAAAGUAUCAUUCAUUUCAAAUUCCUUAUUUAAACAAACCAGAUGGAACAAUUUUCUUGUUUUAUUUUAUUUACGGAUAGCCAGGGGCACACUCCAACACUGAGACAUAAUUUACAAACAAAGCAUGUGUGUUUAUGGAGUGCCCCAGAUCAGAGGCUGUAGGUAUGACCAGCGAUGUUCUCAUGAUAAGUGCAUGAAUUGGACAAUUUUCUGAGCAGGACAGCUCAGCAUUCGAAAUGUAAUGACUACUUUUGGGUGUCAGGAAAAUGUAUGGAUUAAAAAGUACAUUCUUUUCUUUUGGGAAUGUAGUGAAGUAAAAGUAAAAGGAGUCAAAAAAUAUCAAUAGUAAAGUAAAAUACAAAAAAACUACUUAAGUAGUACCUUAAAGUAUUUUUUACUUAAGAACAAAUACUUUAUACCACUGCAUGUACAUUAACUUCCUCUCUCUCCCUCUCUCUCGCUCUCUCCCUGGGGGGUUAGGAUUAAAUCAUGCACAUUCACUAAUUAAUGAUUCCAAUAGUCAAAGCUAUUUGGAUGAAGUUGCUCCCAGACACUGAUCUACUGUCAGUUUUGUUUUCCCCUCCACUUGUUAAGGUUAGUAUUCAAAGAGGGGAAGCUGAUUCUAGAUAUGUGCCUAAUGGCAAUUUUAAGUCAUUAUUG
rnacentral:lncRNA from 1 species